rnacentral:rRNA from 1 species
GAUGAACGCUAGCUACAGGCUUAACACAUGCAAGUCGAGGGGCAGCAUGUCGGUUGCUUGCAACCGACGAUGGCGACCGGCGCACGGGUGAGUAACGCGUAUGCAACCUGCCCAUCAGCGGGGGAUAACCCGUCGAAAGACGGACUAAUACCGCAUAAAACAGGGGUUCCGCAUGGAAAUAUUUGUUAAAGAUUUAUUGCUGAUGGAUGGGCAUGCGUUCUAUUAGGCAGUUGGCGGGGUAACGGCCCACCAAACCGACGAUAGAUAGGGGUUCUGAGAGGAAGGUCCCCCCACAUUGGUACUGAGACACGGACCAAACUCCUACGGGAGGCAGCAGUGAGGAAUAUUGGUCAAUGGGCGUAAGCCUGAACCAGCCAAGUCGCGUGAAGGAUGAAGGUUCUAUGGAUUGUAAACUUCUUUAUGGGGGAAUAAGUAGCAGGACGUGUCCUGUUUGUAUGUACCUCAUGAAUAAGCAUCGGCUAACUCCGUGCCAGCAGCCGACGG